UAAGGAGGCGCGGCGGGAAGAGAGGGGAUACUGUGAUUGUAGCAACUGUAUGCAGGUGGUCUCCAGUUUCCAACUUCUCAACACUGCUUAUUUUCUGCUUUCUUUUUAGGGAGAAGAAGUGAUGCAGAGACAGCGGGGCGGGGGACAAGGCAAGCAAUGGUAGCGCAGUAACCAGCGCUUCAACAACCAGCAGGACCUGCUUCCUCAGCAAAUUCAGCAUGACAAAACUGCAGAUAGGCCAACAUUACAGCCAGCUAAGUGCAGGAUCCCUGCAGCUGGCCGUACUCCCAAGUUGCAGCAGAUGGGGCACAGUGUUGAAAGCAGACCUAGAAGCUGAUCAGUGCCUGUCUGGGUACAGUUGUUUAAUGUUCGAAUGGUUUGGAGGGAGAGAUCACCAGCAUCCCCAGAGGAUUUCCCUCCAUUUCCACACACCCGCCCCACCCCCAACUUCAAAAGGUUCUGUGGCUAAUGCCACAUUACAACUUGCACAGGACCUCCUUUCCAACAAACAGUGCCCUGUGUAUAAUUGGGCACCCACUUCAGAUGCUUAAUUGAUCCAGGCUAGUGAAUGGAAGUCUCACCAUGACCCACUUAUGGCAGGAGGAAGAGGAAAAUCCAGCUGGAGGCAGCAGACGGUGUUUGAAAACUGAAAUCUCUGCUAAUUGUUUAUUGAGAAGAAAGCCUUCUCUCCCAACCACGGAAACCGAGAUUGUCAGAAGUGGAGCAUUGAAAAAAGGCUGAAUGCAACCAGACGAGGAACACUCUUCAUCUAGAAGUAGUCCAACCCAUCUUUAAAUGGGUUUACUUAUGAUUAAACCUUACCAAGUGCUAUCAGAACAAAAGGUAAUGGAGAUAAUGCCCUAAGCAUCAAUGCAAUUGAACUAUAUCAAUGGAUUUUCUUUUUUAAUAAGGUAAAAGUAUGCUGCCUGCAGUUAUUCUCAAGAUUCAAGCAGAGUGAAACACAUAAAUUAAAAUGACUCUUUGUGUUAACAAGGUAAAUUAUUGUGAUAUAGCAAUUAAAAAAGUAUAGGAACUGUUUGGGAAUAUCUUAACUGUUCCUCUAUCCAUAGCUGGUUUUAUGCAGACUUGGACCAUACAUUGUUUGUGAUUGACUCUCUUGUUCAGUGUUUUUCUUACUGUGUCAAAAAAAACCCUGAAAUUUACUUCCAGAAUGAGGUUCUGUGUGCACAAAAGGGACUGGAAGGAGACUACCCAUCUCAUAAAGCUAAUUGGGUUUUAUAUUGACUGUAGGAUUCUUACAUUUGCCUGUAUGCGGUAGUACUGUAAAAGUUUUUAAAUGAUUUUACAGCCUGAAACAAAAGCAGCGUAUGAGUUGGGAGCAAAAAGCUUUUUUAAAGAAAAUGUUUUUAAUACGGCAUCAAAUGUACAGAACUCCAGUUGGUUUACAUUACAAGGUUUUAGUUUAAAUGGAGCACAAGUGCAUAUACACAUAUUACCUGUUGUAACAGAAUACUUUGUACAUGUCAAAUUAAAGUGUAAAAAUUUUUAUUGAUUUUUUUUCCUGGCUCUGAAUCAUGUUUAUUGAAGGAAAAAUUGACAGGAGAUAGUUCAUGAAAGUCAUUAAUACUGUGGUUAUAUUAACUGUUAAGGCCAUUAAUGUGGCUGCUUCAGUUAUGUAAGAGAUUAGCUAGAUGGCUAGUGUGUGGUUCAGAAUAAUGCCAACAGCAAGGGUCUCAUUGAGUGUGGUAACAUAUAGAAACAUUCAUAAUCACAAAGGAAGUAGAUAAGAUAGAAGCAGGAAGAUUGUUUCCACUAGCAGAUGAAACUAGAACCAGGCACCAUAGCCUCAAAAUAAGGGGGAGCAGAUUUAACAUGGA